UUCUUCAGGCUUGUUAUCUUGCAACGCUUGUUCCCAUGAAGUUGGGACGGGUUUGAGUUUGGGCAUUUCCACGUUGCUCUCUUUGCAUCUUGCCUCAAAAUGAGCAAGCUCAGGAGUGAUAACAUUGUAUGCACCCAAAAAAAGAUCUAAUGCUUCCUUGGGAAAUCCCUUCUCAUGAGUGAUGGCGUUUAUGGCUUUGGCAAGACACAACGAACAACCUUGAACAUAAAUUCGAUCCUCGUAUAGCCACCGUUUAAAUGCGCCAGGAGGAGCAGUACCGUUAGCCAAACCUUCGAUAAAUGGGGACUUUGUCGCAGCAGUUUCGACUUGUUCCUCGAUUCCGAGUUUCUUGAUUAUUGCAACUGUAUAAGGAUCCAUUGGUAAGCAGAUGAACUAAAACGAACAAUGGAUAUGAUUAAAAAAAAGAAAAAAUCACUGUCUUAAAGUAGCUCCUUGGUUUGAAAUUUUGAUAUAGUAGAUCUGUAA